rnacentral:misc_RNA from 1 species
GUACCCUCAAGCUCUGCUUGGUGUUGGGUGUUUGUUCCCUGAACUCACCUUAAAACAAUUGGCAGCCGGCAUGUUGGCCUGGAGCGCAGCACAAUUUGCGUCCCAUUCCAGUAGUGUUGGCACCCAUCAAGACCUAUAUUUUGC